rnacentral:misc_RNA from 1 species
GUUUAAUUUAAAAUAAAUUGCUUCAGCUUAAUUAAAUAAGUUGUUUUUGCAACAAAAGUUACACGACAUGCGUAGCAACUUUAGCGCACAGUUCACAAGGGUGUAUAAAUGGAUUUAAUGAUGAUCCUUCCGCAGGUUCACCUACGGAAA